GACGAACGCUGGCGGCGUGCCUAAUACAUGCAAGUUGAGCGCUGAAGGUUGGUACUUGUACCAACUGGGUGAGCAGCGAACGGGUGAGUAACGCGUGGGGAAUCUGCCUUUGAGCGGGGGACAACAUUGGGAAACGAAUGCUAAUACCGCAUAAAAACUUUAAACACAAGUUUUAAGUUUGAAAGAUGCAAUUGCAUCACUCAAAGAUGAUCCCGCGUUGGAUUAGCUAGUUGGUGAGGUAAAGGCUCACCAAGGCGAUGAUACAUAGCCGACCUGAGAGGGGGAUCGGCCAAAUUGGGACUGGGACACGGCCCAAACUCCUACGGGAGGCAGCAGUAGGGAAUCUUCGGCAAUAGACGAAAGUCUGACCGAGCAACGCCGCGUGAGUGAAGAAGGUUUUCGGAUCGUAAAACUCUGUUGGUAGAGAAGAACGUUGGUGAGAGUGGAAAGCUCAUCAAGUGACGGUAACUACCCAGAAAGGGACGGCUAACUACGUG
rnacentral:rRNA from 1 species